CCUACGGGGGGCUGCAGUAGGGAAUAUUGGUAAUGGGCGAAAGCCUGAACCAGCAACGCCGCGUGUGCGAUGAAGGCCUUCGGGUCGUAAAGCACUUUUCGAAGGGAUGAGGAAGGACAGUACCUUCGGAAUAAGCCUCGGCUAACUACGUGCCAGCAGCCGCGGUAAAACGUAGGAGGCAAGCGUUAUCCGGAUUUACUGGGCGUAAAGCGCGUGCAGGCGGUUUGGAAAGUUGGAUGUGAAAGCUCCCGGCUUAACUGGGAGAGGUCGUUCAAAACUACCAGACUAGAGGGCGAUAGAGGGAGGUGGAAUUCCGGGUGUAGUGGUGAAAUGCGUAGAUAUCCGGAGGAACACCAGUGGCGAAAGCGGCCUUCUGGAUCGUACCUGACGCUCAGACGCGAAAGCUAGGGUAGCAAACGGGAUUAGAUACCCCAGUAGUC
rnacentral:rRNA from 1 species